UACGGAGGAUGCAAGCGUUAUCCGGAAUGAUUGGGCGUAAAGCGUCCGCAGGUGGCUGUGUAAGUCUGCUGUUAAAGAGUCUAGCUCAACUAGAUACAAGCAGUGGAAACUACACGGCUAGAGUACGUUCGGGGCAGAGGGAAUUCCUGGUGUAGCGGUGAAAUACGUAGAGAUCAGGAAGAACACCGGUGGCGAAGGCGCUCUGCUAGGCCGUAACUGACACUGAGGGACGAAAGCUAGGGGAGCGAAUGGG
rnacentral:rRNA from 1 species